rnacentral:rRNA from 1 species
AACCAGCACCUCAAGUGGUCAGGAGGAUUAUUGGGCCUAAAGCAUCCGUAGCCGGCUCUGUAAGUUUUCGGUUAAAUCUAUAUGCUCAACGUAUAGGCUGCCGAAAAUACUGCACAGCUAGGGAAUGGGAGAGGUAGACGGUACUCGGUAGGAAGGGGUAAAAUCCUUUGAUCUAUCGAUGACCACCUGUGGCGAAGGCGGCUUACUGGACCAAUACUGACGCUGAGGUACGAAAGCGUGGGGAGCAAACAGG